CCUACGGGAGGCAGCAGUGGGGAAUAUUGCACAAUGGGGGGAACCCUGAUGCAGCGACGCCGCGUGAGUGAAGAAGUAUUUCGGUAUGUAAAGCUCUAUCAGCAGGGAAGAAAAUGACGGUACCUGACUAAGAAGCCCCGGCUAACUACGUGCCAGCAGCCGCGGUAAUACGUAGGGGGCAAGCGUUAUCCGGAUUUACUGGGUGUAAAGGGAGCGCAGACGGCUGUGCAAGUCUGGAGUGAAAGGCGGGGGCCCAACCCCCGGACUGCUCUGGAAACUGUAAAGCUGGAGUGCAGGAGAGGUAAGCGGAAUGCCUAGUGUAGCGGUGAAAUGCUUAGAUAUGACGAAGAACCCCGAUUGCGAAGGCAGCUUGCUGCAGCGGAACUGACGCUGAUGCUCGAAAGCGCGGGUAUCGAACAGGAUUAGAUACCCGAGUAGUC
rnacentral:rRNA from 1 species